GACGAACGCUGGCGGCGUGCUUAACACAUGCAAGUCGAGCGGUAAGGCCCUUUCGGGGUACACGAGCGGCGAACGGGUGAGUAACACGUGGGUGACCUGCCCUCAGCUCUGGGAUAAGCCCGGGAAACUGGGUCUAAUACCGGAUAUGACUCCACGGUGCAUGUCGUGGGGUGGAAAGCCUUGUGCGGCUGAGGAUGGGCCCGCGGCCUAUCAGCUUGUUGGUGGGGUGAUGGCCACCAAGGCGACGACGGGUAGCCGGCCUGAGAGGGCGACCGGCCACACUGGGACUGAGACACGGCCCAGACUCCUACGGGAGGCAGCAGUGGGGAAUCUUGCGCAAUGGGCGAAAGCCUGACGCA
rnacentral:rRNA from 1 species